UCAACAUCUCCACUAUGUCCAUUCAGCUCUAAUUCCAUGAACAACAUCUUCUUUAAUCUCUAAUUUCUCAUGGAUUAUCGACCCAAGGUAUAAAAAAUAAUCUCUUCCAAGAAGUACCAAAAAGAUAUGGGGACUUAUGGCCUCAUUGUGGGUAUGGUCUUUAAUAAAGCAGACCAAGAUUUGUGUAGCUGACCCAAUUAAUUAGGAAAAGGCUAUGAUGAUGAUGAUGAUGAUGAUUGGUUUGAUGAAGAUGUUGCCAAUAGAAUUAGAGCUGGGUGGAUGAAGUGGAGAUGUGA
rnacentral:pre_miRNA from 1 species